GUCGAGAAUCUUUCACAAUGGGGGCAACCCUGAUGGAGCGACGCCGCGUGGAGGAUAAGGUCUUCGGAUUGUAAACUCCUGUCAUGCGUGAACAAGGUUGCUUGGUUAAUACCUGGGCAAAUUGAUGGUAACGCAAGAGGAAGAGACGGCUAACUCUGUGCCAGCAGCCGCGGUAAUACAGAGGUCUCAAGCGUUGUUCGGAAUCACUGGGCGUAAAGGGUGCGUAGGUGGCGUGGUAAGUCAGAUGUGAAAGCCCGGGGCUCAACCUCGGGACUGCAUCCGAUACUGCCAUGCUAGAGUACUGGAGAGGUGACUAGAAUUCUCGGUGUAGCAGUGAAAUGCGUAGAGAUCGAGAGGAAUACCAAAGGCGUAGGCAGGUCACUGGACAGUUACUGACACUGAGGCACGAAGGCCAGGGGAGCGAACGGGAUUAGAAACCCGGGUAGUCC
rnacentral:rRNA from 1 species